AUUCCAGCUCCAAUAGCGUAUAUUAAAGCUGUUGCAGUUAAAAAGCUCGUAGUUGGAUCUUGGGCCCAGGCCUGCGGUCCGCCGUGAGGCGAGUACUGCAGUCCUGGCCUUCCUCUCGGUUUUCGCCCGGUGCUCUUAACUGAGUGCCAGGAGAGGCCGGAACGUUUACUUUGAAAAAAUUGGAGUGUUCAAAGCAGGCCUCGCGCCUGAACAGCAGAGCAUGGAAUAAUGGAAUAGGACCUCGGUUCUAUUGCGUUGGUUUUCGGAACUCGAGGUAAUGAUUAAGAGGGACUGACGGGGGCAUUCGUAUUGCGGUGUGAGAGGUGAAAUUCUUGGAUCGCCGCAAGACGACCGACUGCGAAAGCAUUAGCCAAGAAUGUUUUCAUUA
rnacentral:rRNA from 1 species